GUGGGGAAUAUUGGACAAUGGGCGCAAGCCUGAUCCAGCCAUACCGCGUGGGUGAAGAAGGCCUUCGGGUUGUAAAGCCCUUUUGUUGGGAAAGAAAUCCUGUCGGUUAAUACCUGGCGGGGAUGACGGUACCCAAAGAAUAAGCACCGGCUAACUUCGUGCCAGCAGCCGCGGUAAUACGAAGGGUGCAAGCGUUACUCGGAAUUACUGGGCGUAAAGCGUGCGUAGGUGGUGGUUUAAGUCCGUUGUGAAAGCCCUGGGCUCAACCUGGGAAUUGCAUUGGAUACUGGAUCACUAGAGUGUGGUAGAGGGAUGCGGAAUUUCUGGUGUAGCAGUGAAAUGCGUAGAGAUCAGAAGGAACAUCCGUGGCGAAGGCGGCAUCCUGGGCCAACACUGACACUGAGGCACGAAAGCGUGGGGAGCAAACAGGAUUAGAAACCCGUGUAGUCC
rnacentral:rRNA from 1 species